rnacentral:rRNA from 1 species
GACGAACGCUGGCGGCGUGCUUAACACAUGCAAGUCGAACGGAAAGGCCCUGCUUUUGUGGGGUGCUCGAGUGGCGAACGGGUGAGUAACACGUGAGUAACCUGCCCUUGACUUUGGGAUAACUUCAGGAAACUGGGGCUAAUACCGGAUAGGAGCUCCUGCUGCAUGGGGGGGGUUGGAAAGUUUCGGCGGUUGGGGCUGGACUCGCGGCUUAUCAGCUUGUUGGGGGGGUAGGGGCUUACCAGGGCUUUGAAGGGUAGCCGGCCUGAGAGGGUGACCGGCCACCUUGGGACUGAGAUACGGCCCAGACUCCUACGGGAGGCAGCAGUGGGGAAUAUUGCACAAUGGGCGGAGGCCUGAUGCAGCAACGCCGCGUGCGGGAUGACGGCCUUCGGGUUGUAAACCGCUUUCGCAUGUGACGAAGCGUGAGUGACGGUAAUGGGUAAAGAAGCACCGGCUAACUACGUG